rnacentral:tRNA from 1 species
GGAAAUGUGCCCGAAAGUCAAGGGCCUCUUUGAUAAAGAGGAUAAUGGAGGUCCAAGUCCCCCCAAUUCCA